GACGAACGCUGGCGGCGUGCCUAACACAUGCAAGUCGAGCGGAGAUAUAUGGAAGGUUUACCGGAAAUAUAUCUUAGCGGCGGACGGGUGAGUAACGCGUGGGCAACCUGCCUCAUACAGGGGGAUAACACAGGGAAACUUGUGCUAAUACCGCAUGAAAUCAUAGUAUGGCAUCAUACAAUGAUCAAAGGAGCAAUCCGGUAUGAGAUGGGCCCGCGUCCGAUUAGCUAGUUGGUGAGGUAACGGCUCACCAAGGCGACGAUCGGUAGCCGAACUGAGAGGUUGAUCGGCCACAUUGGGACUGAGACACGGCCCAGACUCCUACGGGAGGCAGCAGUGGGGAAUAUUGCGCAAUGGGGGAAACCCUGACGCAGCAACGCCGCGUGAAGGAAGAAGGCCUUCGGUUGUAACUUACUUUGAUAGGGGACGAUAAUAGACGGUACCUAAAACAAAGACCACGGCUAACUACGUAG
rnacentral:rRNA from 1 species